GAUCGAUCCUACCGCCUUGACCUCCCAAAGUGCUAGGAUUACAGGCAUGAGCCACUGCACCCAGCCAACUCCUUUAAUUCUAGUAAUAGCUCUGUGAGUCAAUUACUAUUAGCCCAGGUUUAAGUUGAGGAAACUGAGAUCGAGGAGGUCAAAUCCCUUGCCCAAGGUCAUACAUACAUCUAGCAAGUGUCAGGGCUAAGAUCUCCACUCAAGCAGGCAAGCUAUCAUUAGCGGGUAGACCGUCACGAGGCUCCCAGCCGUAAAGCCUUUCAUCAGGGAGCCAAGCAUGUGCCUCUAGGGGCUGUUGGGUAGGUGGGUGCCCAUCCAGGUGGCCCUGCCACCUUCCCAUGUAGCUUCUCCAGGCUCCUGACCAGCAGCUGGUGAAUGAAGACUUCCCAGGGCGUGUGGGUGGGGAACUCGCCUGGCAGAGGCCCCUCUGGUCGGAAACCGCCUAAGCAGUCUGAGGGAGACGUGUGAACUUUGGCCGGCAUCCAGCACACUUGCACUGUGGACGCCAACUUAGGGAACAUGUGGAGGCCGCCCCGGAGGUCCCAGCACCACCAUCCCUCCCUGGCUUUGAAGCGGGCGCUCAAGCAGUGUGGCUUAUUCUGGUGAUCAUGAGAGUGGUGUGAAAGAGACCUACAGAGUGAGGUUAUUUGAGUAUCUUCAGAAUGCUCAGGAAUAGAGUGGCGGCUGCUCUUGGACCAAUAUCAAACUUAGUUUUGGUGUCAGAGUAAUUUUGAAGGGGAAAUUUCAUUAGAAUGCAGUUCGGUAUUGUUAGAUAUGAAUGAUGAGUUUAGGCUGAGCAAUACACUUUUUGAUAUUAAUUUUUAAUACAGCUUCUUGGGAAGUCAGAGCUUCUAUUUAAUGAAGAAUUGACGAUUCGUCAAUUCAGCUCCCACCUCGGAGCUGGCCUUGGCGUUUGGGCUCUCACGUCAGAUUUUUGACAAGAUAUUUGCUGCUUGUAAAUGUGUUAUCUUUGUAAUUUUGGUGACUUUCUGAGUGUCUUACUUUUCUGGGUGGUCAUGGUGGUUAUGUGCGCUUUUCUGUUGUUGCCAUCCCAAGAAGCAGGGUUAUAAAUGGAAAAUUAUUCCCUCCUUAGUCUGGCUCGCAAGUGCACGACGGCUCUUUGUGCGGUUGGUUUCAGCGUCAGGGUUUGGAGAAAGGCCUUUUUCAGGAUUAUGAAAAUAGUUUUCUGUGUGUCAGAACAGAUUUAUCAGUUCACUUUAGGGUCGGUUUUGUGAACUAGACCAUUUAGAGGAGGAUAUUUUACCUUUUAUCAGAGUGGAAGCUGACAGUCAAUUUGCAGGUAGCCCUGUGGAAUGUUUCACCUGGGUCUCUCAGUGUAAAUCUAGCUGCCAAAUAAAGUAAAAAUGGGUGUUAAACCAGCGAUAUUUCCCAGGGUUUUACUACCACCCACCCCCCAACCCCAACGAUGUUGUUCUAUUUCAAUGCAGGGUUUCAAUUAUUAAUUGGGAUAUUUAAUAAAAUUCUCUGCUUGCAGUUACUUUUAAAAGGCCUUUUGAGUUUAUUUGGGUCCAGUUUUUGCCAGUGGGUAGGGUAGAAUUCAAUCUGAAUAUCCUUCAUGGGCAGCAGAUGUUUUGUUUCCAGUUGAAGAAUAAUAUUAAUAAUAAUUAUUAAAAUAAGUGCAAUUAUUAUCAUCAUCAUUAUUUCAGCUGUAAUUUUCUGGGCAUCUUGUGCCAGGCAUUGUGUAAACAUAUAUAUAUAUAUGCACACACGCACACACGCACACACACACACAGAUAUGUUCUUUAUAACCACGUUGUGAGGUGAAUAAUUGUGUCCUCAUUUUAAGAGUGAGAAGACUGAAGCUUAGACAGAUCAUAACUUAUCUAAGGGCAGAGAGUUAGGAGUUAGAGGGCCUGUGAUUGGAGGAGAGAUCUCACCAUAACACCCUGCCUGCCUCCAAGGAGCCUCAGGACCUCCUGAUUGAACACUGACCCUCUGCUAUGAGCUCGACCUUGCAUGGGACCAAAAAUCACCAUCCAGCCCGUAGCCCACAUUCCACCUCCUCCUCAGUCAUGGCUGUAUUUUGCUAAACAAAUUGUUUUCCACAGCCUUUGAGAUGGAUUGGGCAGGGAGGAGACAAGUGUUGCCUUUGGCUCUUUGUUAGAGGAUGUACGGUAUUCAGUCCAGACUGCAGCUUGCCCUGUGCUUUCAUGCACACAGCCCUUUAUGAAUCUGACUUUGGCAGUCCCCCGACUGUUGAAUUUUCGAAAAGCAGAUAUUUUAGUAGGCUGGAAGAAGAUGAAAAGCUAGCGGUGCCCAUAUGUUCCUUGUUUUUAAAAGUAAGGUCAGCGAGGUUUAGAGACUCUUUAAAUAUUUCAGUUUAUAAGAUUAGACUAGAUCAUCUGGAAUGGAAGUGUGGUGCCCCUGGUCCCAGACUUGGCUUUUUUCUUCAUUUCUUUUAUAUGGGAGGUAGGUGUUUUGGCAUUGCAAGGUUCAAGUGUAAUAAAACUUAAAUGUAGAGAAUAAAUACCAUGAUUUGGAGUGUUGCUGCGGCUAUGAAAGUCAGUUUCCUUUCUUCAUCUUUUUUUUUUUUUAUUAAGUAAUCAGUGACUUGAAAAACAGCAGAUUGGUACAAGGAAACUGAAAACUCCCAUGCUUUAAAGCAGUAUGACAUUUUUGACAUUUUUCUGCGGAAGCAUUUUCUUCACUCAUUUAAAUCUUCCUAGGCUGAGAUCAGGCAUUCAUCCUGAAAUGUACACUUGAGUAGUUUGAAAUUCAACACAAGUGUGUAUUUUUAGUUAAGACAUUUUCUCUUGGAUUAUCAGUGGUUAGUGACGUAGUGGAGGCUUUACUUGCCCCCAAGAUAUUUACAGAAGCCAAGGAUCUGAGCAAAUAUCUAACCCAACCCCAGGUUGGGACCAGGUCUCACUUCUUGAUACAACGCACCAACAUUUUAUGCCUCUCACCCAAAGAGCAUUCUUAUGGCCAGGAUGUACCCAUGGUCACCAACAGUAACUGCUGGGAGACACGUCAGGGAGAGGUGGUUGUGGUCACUGCCUUGUACAACAGCUACAUGCCCAAAGCAGGGGGGACCCUGCCCUCCUCCCAGUGCACAAUGAGUGGGAACUCUGUGUGCUGGCCGGCAUUUCCCGUCAUGUUCAGUGGGACACGUUCACUCUUCAUACUUCUUCAAUUCUAAAUUUCAGAAGUAAUUUGUCACUUUAGAGGAGGGCGUCAUUAAUAACCAUUAUUUGAAACUGUCGAGUCUUCGUCUCUGUGUGUGAGUGCCUGAGUUAAGCAUCCCCAAAAUUGGCCUUGUUGGUGGCAAGCAGUGUCCCCACAUUGACAGAUCGCGACGACCCCACCCCCACCCUCUCCCUCUCAACUGAGUUCUUCCCCGUCUGCCUUUAAUCACUGCGAGGGGGUGACAGGGAAUGGCUACAGCGUGUCCUCCUGGAAUUCAUUAGUGUUAUUACCAAAGACCGUGUUGUAAAUUGAGAUUUUUUUUCUUUAACUGCUAGGAAAAAAUUUCUCCUUAGCUAUUUCAUUUUAUUGUACUUAAAAAAAAAAAAAAAGAAAGAUUUUUCUCAUCAAACUUUUGGAGCAGAAUAGUUCAGAAACCCUGACUUCAGAUCCCACUGGGUGUGAACUCUGAGUUGUAAAUGAAGCUGAAAUCACAUCUGGUUACCCUUGAGCUCUGGGGUGAGGGCCAAGGAAGAACCCCCAAACCUUCAGAUGGGUGGUUAAGAGAAAGAAUUGCCAUUCAAUGUAUGUUACUGCACAUUGUUAUUCUUUAACAUUAAAAUUCCACUAAAGUACUAAUAAUUACUGUUAAUACCUUUUGGUGGAAACUUACAGUAAAAGAGCAGUAGUGGAAACAGUAUUUAAGGGCAAGCCGCCGGCAUGAUAAGAAUGCAAAUAAGCGUUAUUAGCCUAAUGAUUUUGCCGUCGCCAUGGUUGUGCGGCAGUAGUGUUGUGAAUAUGUCAUCCGGCACCCGUGAAUUUGGAAAGUGUGUCAAAACACAACUUCAAUUAGUUUGCUCUAAUUAUGGCUCUGGAGAGUUUGUAACUACAUCACUCCUCAUUAAAAGAGAUUUUCUUAUAUGGAUUAAUGUAAUAUACAAAGGAAAGUUUCAAAGUUCCUGACGCCAUUCGCUGCCCCCACGAAUGAGCCAGGGGCAGGCCUGGUGGACCCAGAUCUAGGGUCUGUGUCUGCAGCGGGUGCAGGCAGGGGGCUGGGCGGCUCUCUCCUUCUGCUUGGCGAUCCAUGUCCUGCUCAGAGUGGCCACUGCAAAUGGAGCCUUGACGAUUUCCACGAGAGGGUAAUUGAACCCGUUGCAGGCUUUUAAGGAGAAAUGGCUAAUCUGAAACUAUCAGGAUGUCCCUCCUUCUCUGCUUCUCGAUGGAGGCUGGAAGCAGAAAGGUCUCUGGACCCACCGUGGUGCAGUGCCAUGUGCGCAGUCAGCCCUUGGCCCUGUCCUGAGUUCUUGGGGGAGAUCAUGUGGGAAAAUGUAUUAUUUUUGGUCUUGCAGAAUCACAUGGUAUCUAUGAAAUGUUUGUAAAAGUCUUUUCAGAUAGCGAAGGCAUACAUUAAGGAAACGUAAUCUCCAAGUUGAUAUGUAGUUCUAAAUGGUAUCAUUGCACCUUGACCAUCUUGAAAAGAGGAAUGCGAGUUCACAUUUUCUUGUCCUGUUGUGGACUUUCCCCUCCCUGAGGACACCUGUCCUGCAGCGCUCACCUUCUCAAGGCCCACUCUACGGGGUUUGGACGGCCACCUUGUCACCUUGCCUCAAGUCAGCCUUGUGGGACUGUUCCUUGAGCUUUGCUGCCCCCACCUCCACCAUUCUGCUAAGCCGCCACAGAGGCUUCGUGACUUCCAUUGAGGGGGCCCAGUGAUGCAUUUUGAACUCAGGAGUUAAAUUUUAGAAUGCUGGUUGAGGAGGCCUGGGUUUUGGUUUUCCUCUGAUUUAGCCACACGGUGCAGAUAAUCCAAAAUACAGCUUUGAAGACGUUUUUGUGGGCCUUUGCAUGUUCUCAUUGUCAUCACUUAUGUCAUUAUAUAACGUGUGUGUGUGUAUGUGUGUGUGUGUGUGUGUGUGAGAGUCCCUUGGGUCUUCUUUAUGCCACUCACAGGCAGGGAUACUUUGAGUGAGUUUUAUCACUCUCUGAGCCUGUUUCUUCCUCUGUGAAAUGGGUAUAAAAAUGCCUGCUUUGCAGGAUUUGUCACAGGAAUUAAAUGUGGGGACACAGAAAGCACCACCCUGGUGCCUGGUGAGCACCUGUGCAUGCUGGCUUUCUGUCUGUGUCCAGGGUUCAUUGCAGAACCGAGCCUGAGCAUGAGCAGGGCAUCCCCUUAGACCUUUCCUUUGCCACCACAUGGCUCCCAUCUGCUGCAGCUGCAACUCCAGUCACCAGCACCCCCUCCAGCGCCUCACAGCAUCAGAGACCAGGCACAGGCAUCCUCCCCUGUGGAUCUGGGACUAGAACGGCUGUGCUCACAGGUGAGCAGGUGGGAAGGGGUUAAGAUAGUAAUUGUGUAAGUCUUCCAGGCUUUCUCCCAGUUCUGCGGUAAUUUGAUGAAGAACUUCACCCUAAUUAAAUAUUCAAAUUAGGAAUAAGUGUCAAUAUGGCUUCCCAUUGCCUGGAAUGAUGAUUAAUUGUUUUCAAAACUCCAGUGGCCCACUGUAAUCUAAGCCUAACGGUUGUUCUUGAUUAUUUCUGCACCGCACUUGCCAUGUUUUUGUUUUAAGAUUUAAACUAGUAAUUGAUUUGCCAUAUGCCAUGGAGCUGCACGUACUUUAAAGCUAUGCGUUUAGGAACUUGGGGAGUUUGGAAUUGCGAUUUUCUUCAUCUUCCAGUGGCAGCUGUUUUUUCCCCCUUGUCCAAUGCAGAGUGAUUUGGUUGGGUGUGUGUGUCUGUGUGUGUGCAGGCGCACAUGUGUGUGUGUUGCCCAUGAGGAAAACCCAUUCUACAGUCAGGCUGGUAGGUUGGAGUUAUACUGAUCACUGCGAAUGGGCUUCCUGAAUGGAAAAUGAACAGGUCAGUGUUUGCACUUACUUCCUGCUCUGCAUUAUCUCAGUAAAGCAACAUGGCAUGAUGGAAAGAGCACGAAUACACAACCCAGCCCAGCCAUUUUCUUUAGCUGCAUGACUUUGGGUCUCAAUCGUAAUUCAGAGCCCCACUUGGGAAACGCAGGGAUGUGGAGCAGGAAUCCUGGCUGUGAAGUCAUUGAGGAGGAUUCGAAUGGUAGUUGGGCCCUUCCAGCUGAAAAUGAUUCAUUUUAAUUACCUUCCAGGGCGAUCCAAUACCUGAGCAUAUGGUCUUUAAGAAAUAAGGUUCCCCAAACUGUCAGCAAGUGUGAGCAAUGGUCAGGGACCUCUUUCUGACACCAUUGACCAGCCUUGGAGAGCGGGCACUCUAGAAGGUGCUUAUUAAAAUGCCAGCAGGUGCAGCAAAGGUCCCCUUCCCUGUGACUCCCACACCCUGCUUGUGCCAGGUGUUUUAUAAGAGCCUUUUUCUUCAUUAAAUGGCAUUCAUUAAGCACGUCCUUACACCUGGCACAGAAGCUGUGCGUCACAGAUGACUUCUUCCCAGUGGUGUUUUGCAGGAAUAAAACGGAAUUUCAUUUAGCUAUUUGCUGUGUUCUUCUUCCCCUUCCUUCCUUAACUGGAUUUUUGUUGCUUUUCAUGUUUCCUCUGCUGCCCUCACAGUCCAUUCCUUUCCUUUGUACAUGACCUCUGGUCUUUGUCCACCAGCAGACACAUUAUAUAGAAAACAAGAUGUCCCUUCGGCACCAGGCACCACCCUGGAUGCUCUCAUAUUUGUGUCUCUUCUCUCCCAACCACAUUGAGACGCAUUCUAGUUUUUGGCAUCUUUUUUUCUGAUAAAAAGAAAAAUAAUUUCUCACUGAAAAAAAUUAACACUUAAAAAA